rnacentral:rRNA from 1 species
AACGAACGCUGGCGGCAGGCCUAACACAUGCAAGUCGAACGCCCUCUUCGGAGGGAGUGGCAGACGGGUGAGUAACGCGUGGGAACCUACCCAAGGGUACGGGACAACUCAGGGAAACUUGAGCUAAUACCGUAUACGUCCUUAGGGAGAAAGAUUUAUCGCCCCUGGAUGGGCCCGCGUUGGAUUAGCUAGUUGGUGGGGUAAUGGCCUACCAAGGCGACGAUCCAUAGCUGGUCUGAGAGGAUGAUCAGCCACACUGGAACUGAGACACGGUCCAG